AAAUUUAACAAUGGGUAUGAAUAAGUGUAUUACCUCAGUUGUUGGGUUGCUUCUCGUGUUGAUGAGAGAGACGAUGGAUUUUAAUGGAGGAGGAAGAGCUCGAUUAAGCUAUGGAGGAGGAUGGUGGAGAUCGCCAGAUCGUGGGUUGAAGGAGAGAUCCAUGUCAAUUAUUCUUUUUUUUUUUGUUUAAAUUAAGGAUUAAAAUAAGAAGGCCAAAAUAUGUCAAUAUUUAAGUCAACAAAUGGUCCAAGGGUAGUUAGAACAUGGAAGGGUAAGAAAGUAUAUAGACUUUAGUCAAAGGGCAUGAGAUAUUUUGGUCCAGAAAUUGAAUAACACUUGAAUUGUAUCAAAACUUAUUAUAUUAUUAUUUAC
rnacentral:lncRNA from 1 species